AAUGUUUCUCAUGAAUGCUCCUCCAGUGGUUGCUCUCCAGCCCAAAUGGGAGGCCUCUGUCCCACCAGGGAGCUUUAGGUUCCCCGGGUGCUUCUCGGAGGCUGACAAGGGCGUGGAGAGCAUGUCGGUGAGCACCCGGGUGCAGAUGCUCAUCAGCACGCUGCAGAGCGACAGGGCUGCUAGGGGCACCAGCGAUGAGCGCACUGCGCAGAGGGGGCAGAGGGAUGCCACGACGCCAGGCCUGCUGCCAAGCCCACCAUGCACAAGGAGCUGCCUGCGUUGGCUGCCUGUGGUCUUGUUGCUGACUUUGACCCCGUGGGGGAGGAGGAAACUGCAGACUUUGGCCCAUUGGUGCUAGAUUCAGACAGUGACGAUUCCGUGGACCGGGACAUUGAGGAGGCCAUCCAGGAGUACCUGAAGGUAAAGAGUGGAGCCGCACAGCCCGGGGCCAGCGGGGCCCAGCCAUGCACAGCCUUCCAGGGCUGCAGGCGGAGGCAGUAGAUGUAAGCGGGAACUGGCUCACAGCAGUGCCCAACUGCCCUGUGUUCCCCAAAACUUGUACCUGGCUCAGGUGGUGUGGCCCUGGCAGCCAGGUGGGAUCCAGCAAGGACCAGGGCUCUGCCUCCCCAGUCAGCAUGAGCAGAGCAGACUCCUUUGAGCAGAGCAUCAGGGCAGAAAUAGAACAGUUUCUGAAUGAGAAAAGACAGCAUGAGACCCAAAAAUGUGAUGGGUCAGUGGAGAAGAAACCAGACACACAUGAAAAUUCGGCGAAGUCACUCUCGAAAUCCCACCAAGAGCCGGCUACAAAGGUGGUGCACCGGCAGGGCCUGAUGGGCGUCCAGAAGGAGUUCGCCUUCUGCAGACCUCCCCCGGUUAGCAAAGACAAACGUGCAGCCCAGAAGCCUCAGGUCCAAGGUCACGACCACGACCACGCAGGAGAAGGAGGGCAGCACAAAGCCAGCAACCCCCACCGCCCUUCAGAAGCAGUACAGAAUAAAAGUGGGAUUAAAAGGAACGCCAGCACCGCAAGGAGGGGAAAGCGAGUCACGAGCGCCGUACAGGCGCCCGAGGCGUCCGACUCCAGCAGCGACGACGGCAUUGAGGAGGCCAUCCAGCUGUACCAGGUGCAGAAAACACACAAGGAGGCCGACGGGGACCCGCCCCAGAGGGUCCAGCUCCAAGAGGAAAGAGCACCUGCCCCUCCCGCACACAGCACAAGCAGCGCCACAAAAAGUGCCUUGCCAGAGACCCACAGGAAAACACCCAGCAAGAAGAAGCCAGUGCCCACCAAGACCACGGACCCUGGUCCAGGGGAUCUGGACGCUGACCAUUCCCCCAAGAUCCCAAAGGAAACCAAAGCUCCACCUCCAACGAGCCCGGCUUCCAGGAGCAAGUUUGUGGAAUGGUCCUCUUGCCAGGCAGACACCUCCGCUGAGCUGAUGUGUGUAGAAGCAGUCCUGGACAUUUUCAAGACGAUCCUGCCGGCCCUAUGGAGGGCAGCGAUGGGUCCCUGUCCGCAAGCCCACUCUUCUACUCCCCCAACGUGCCUUCCCGCUCUGAUGGUGACAGUAGCUCCGUGGACAGCGACGACAGCAUUGAGCAGGAAAUCUGGACGUUUUUGGCCCUCAAGGUGCAGUCUAGAAGUUUGCUGGCCAGAGGUGAGAGCUGCCCUCAGGCUGCCCAGGGCCCACUUUCACCACCUGGCCUCAGCAGCCAGACCGGCAGCCCCAAGGCCCCUCUCUCUAAAACACUGGACCCACUCCUGGCUGCAAAAGGAAGCAUAGAGGCGGCUGCCAAGUGAGGCCAUCCACUCCCAAGAACAUGCGGGUGGUGGGGAAAGAGGGUUGGCCAGGAUGCCGACCGCAGCCAGGGGAGAGCCGGGCCCGGCCAUGAGGGGCGGGACCUUUCCAUCCAGGGCACAGCCAGCGAGGCCCCGGGAUGGGAGGGCGCCGCUAGGGUGGGACCUUUCCAUCCAGGGCACAGCCAGCGAGGCCCCGGGAGGAGAGGGCGCCGCUAGGGUGCCCGGUGACACUCGCACGUCACAGGGCCAGGGUAAGACAGACGAGGCAAGGCACCUAGACAAGAAGAAGAGCUCCGAAGACAAAAGCAGUUCCCUGGACAGUGACAAGGACCUGGACACAGCCAUCAAGGACUUGUUAAGGUCCAAGUGAAAGCUCAAGAAGAGGUCCAGGGAGCCCAGGGCUGUGUGCAGGAAGAAGGUCAGGUUCAGCACCUCCCAGACGCACUUCCAGGAGCAGCUGGGCAGGCUCCUGAGAGAGUGGAAAAACAGGCACCUGCAGGUGCUGAAGAGCUGCCUAAGUCCAAGAGAGACAGCUGCGAGGGCUCCAGGAAGAAACCCCCCAGUGUCUUUGGCAGCAGGGCCGAGAGGACGAAGCCCCGGCCUUCCUGGUGAGGAGACCCGCUUCUGCCUCCGCCUCCGAAGAGAAUCUAUUCCCCAGAGAGUCCCAGGGCCCAGCUCCCAGCCUUGGCUCCUUGUCUGACAACAGCAGUUCAGUGGACAGCGACGAUAGCAUCGAACUGGAGAUUAGGAAGUUUUUGGUGGAAAAGGCCAAGGAGUCGGUGAGCAGUUCAGAAGUUCAGGCAGAGGGCCCCACCGCUCUCGGGACAGGGGGCCCAGCCAGGCCAGAGGUACCUUGCAGGAAGGAGCCGGCCCCACUGCCUGGCAUGUGCACACGGAGCCAGAGGGCCGGGGGGUCCCACAUUUGGCUAAAGGGCAUCGAGGCGCAGGGAGCGCAGGAGCACAGGGCGCAGCGUGCCUGCUCAGCCAGGGUGGGAAGGGGCUCCCCACUGAUCCGGCGGAGGGGAUCAUGCGCCACCCAGGAGGACCAGCGGCAGUGUCUCCGCCAAGGUCUCUCAGUGAGCAAGAGAAAUGUUUACGUUUACAAAGACCAGAGCCCACGAGGGGCUGAGCCUGCUGCCAAAAGUGCUUUUGGUCAGCGGCCCAGCUGUGCCACAGCGGGCACCGAGGCAGGAGGAGCCAGGGGGACCUUUCACGUGGACUGCAGGAACCGGAGCUUCCUGACCCCCAGCCCGGGAGCUGAGAGGGAUGCUGGAGCCCAGGCCAACCGCGCCCCGCCCUGGAGUGACUUUGCCCACCACAGUCAGCUGCCCAGCCCAUGGGCACUGCGCUCCAAAGGUAGAGAUGCGGCGUGGAGGGGGCGGCAUUGGGAGAGAGAGACAAGGGGUCCGAGGGCCCCACCCGGGGCCUGCCCAGCCUGCCCCUUGCGGGCUUCUCCCCGCUGCUGUCCACCCAGCUCUUCCACUUUGGAAAGGGUGUCUCCUGGGGGGGCAGGGAGACCGGCCUCUUCAGCCCCUACCUGGGGCUGCCUCUGCAGGGCCUGUCCUUCUCGGCCUUCAGGGAGUCCCAGGCCAGGCCCAGCCCUGUCUUUGGAAGCCCACACUUGCUGGCGAAGAAGGACUGCGGUCACCGGCCAAGCAGGAAGGUACAGACGGGGCUGAGUUUGCACAACAGGAAGAGCUCUGGCUCGGAGGAAAGGAUUUUAGACCUGAGGUAUCCACGAAGGGUCAAUCAGUAGAGUUGACCAGGACCAGGACACCUUGGGCAGGGACACCAGUGAUUUCAGCAACACCUCCGCAGAGGUGUUGCUGCUGCAGUGGCGGCAGCUCAGUAGUGAAGGUAUAA
rnacentral:lncRNA from 1 species